AUGAACGCUGGCGGCGUGCCUAAUACCUGCAAGUCGAGCGAACAGACGAGGAGCUUGCUCCUCUGACGUUAGCGGCGGACGGGUGAGUAACACGUGGAUAACCUACCUAUAAGACUGGGAUAACUUCGGGAAACCGGAGCUAAUACCGGAUAAUAUAUUGAACCGCAUGGUUCAAUAGUGAAAGACGGUUUUGCUGUCACUUAUAGAUGGAUCCGCGCCGCAUUAGCUAGUUGGUAAGGUAACGGCUUACCAAGGCAACGAUGCGUAGCCGACCUGAGAGGGUGAUCGGCCACACUGGAACUGAGACACGGUCCAGACUCCUACGGGAGGCAGCAGUAGGGAAUCUUCCGCAAUGGGCGAAAGCCUGACGGAGCAACGCCGCGUGAGUGAUGAAGGUCUUCGGAUCGUAAAACUCUGUUAUUAGGGAAGAACAAAUGUGUAAGUAACUAUGCACGUCUUGACGGUACCUAAUCAGAAAGCCACGGCUAGCUACGUG
rnacentral:rRNA from 1 species